rnacentral:rRNA from 1 species
UACAGAGGUCCCAAGCGUUGUUCGGAUUCACUGGGCGUAAAGGGUGCGUAGGUGGUCGGGUAAGUCUGAUGUGAAAUCUCCGAGCUUAACUCGGAAAUGGCAUUGGAUACUAUUCGGCUAGAGGGUUUGAGGGGGGACUGGAAUACUUGGUGUAGCAGUGAAAUGCGUAGAUAUCAAGUGGAACACCAGUGGCGAAGGCGAGUCCCUGGAAAACGCCUGACACUGAGGCACGAAAGCUAGGGGAGCAAACAGG